ACGCCGACAGCGGCUCAGCCGGUGCCCGGCGCGGAAGGGAGCACAGCCUCGGCGGCCCCGAGCGCGGCAGCGACAGGCAUCGCGAAGGGAAUUGAAGCUGCGCUUUACCUUUAGUUCCGCACUGUCCGCCAUCUUGCAACUCCGGGCGCAGGCGCAGUGAACCCCGCCGGGACACCGCCCCCCCGCCGCCCCCCCGCCGGCACGCAGCGCGCAGCGUUUGAAUCGCGGCGCCAUUUUGUCCCUCCUCUGCGCUCCGGCCGGGUGGGGGGUCUCCGGCGGGGGGCGGCCCGCGAGAUUCCUUCCACAGGGCUGCGAGCGGAGCCGUUCCCACGGGGAAGCUGCGUUCCGGUCCCGGGGGCAGAGCGUGGCCGCCGCCCUGCCUGGGAAGUUUUCCCCUGAGAGGCGGCCCCCUCGGUUCCGCCUUCCUCGCUGCUCCGCCGCGUGAGGGGAGCGAGGCGCUGAGGGGAGCCGUUGAGGAUGCCAGCGCCGCGGCUCUCGGGGCUGAGCCGCUGCCGGUACCGGGGGCCCCUCUCGCAGGAUCCGCAGAGGGAAGAGGCGGACACGCAUUCCUGUAGGGAUAAGUUGAUUAAAAUCGGAAUUUGCAACUCCGCUUCCUGCCACUUAAUCCGCGGGUUUCGGUGCCGUAGGAGGGGCGCUGCGCGGGGUCCCUCCGCGGGCGCUGGGGGCCCUGCCGAGGACGAGGGUGGGUGCCGGGCCCCGGCCGGUGCCCCCAGCCCCCAUCUGCCUCCCGCUCGGUACCGUCCUCAGCGUGGAGCACGGCAUCAAGUUCUGUUUCCCUCGACUACUGCAGAGCAACUUGAGGGAAUCAACGUGAGCUUGCCAGGGUUUCCCACUUAGGAAACGACUGGACUAGAUGAUCUUUGGAGAUUGCCGUGACACUUUCUCCACUUAGCCUUCACCUUCACGUAUAGGAUGGAAAAACCGUGUAACGUGGCCAGCACUGCACAUCAUUUUAAGUGAGAGAGAGAGAGAAAAUUAGCUGUUCUCCUCUUCCUUCAGCAUCGGCAUCUCAAACGCAGCAUUCAGAAAAGGAGCAGCAAUUAGAAGCUGAUAAGUGAUACUCCCAUACUUCUGGCUUAAUACUGCCUAGCAACCAAUAAAAGCCCCCGAGGAAGGCGGGCGAGUGCCGAGCGGAUGAGUGUCGCACCCCACUCCCAAGAAGGGAAUGCUGCCCAGCAGCAAGGACGGGAGGAUGGGAGGCAGGAAUUCUUGGAUCAGUCCCAAAAAAAAAAGCCUCCUGCCAUAUUACCUCAUUUGGACCAAGUCACGGGGUAGAAAUGCACUCGGAAUGACUCCGUUGUGACAUGGAGAUGAUAAUAAUAGGUAUCUCCCUGGCCUGGUGAGAGGAAAUUAAUUAACGUCUGGAAAGCACUUUGGGAUUCUUGGAUGAGAGAUGAUGGAGCUGGAAUGCUGGCAACAUUAAAAUAAGUUGGAAUAAUGUUAAUAUUUAUUGCAUACAGCGCUUUCAUCUUCAAAGCUCUUUACUGGCAUCAAUGAAUUAACAAAGAAAAUAUUAAUAAAGGUCAUAUUUACCCACAAAA